AUUCACCACAACCGCACGCAGAGUGAAUCGCUAACAGUGGCACAAUGAAUGGGCAGUACUGCACUGACGAAGCUGGUGGACUAAGAGUUCGAUUCCAUGACAUGGCUACCAUCAGCGACCCAGAAACUGCUCAGCCUUGGGAAAUAACCGCCAUGCGCCAUGAACAUAUUACAACGGGGAUGUGUGGUGAGAAUUAAAAAAUAAAACUGAAUUUGAUAAGAAAAAA